CGAUAGAGGUCGCGGAGAUUAAGAGUAUGUGUCUGGGGCAGCAUCACGCUGCAGGUAUGGGGUACUGAAGCACAGAAAGGAUGAUCCGCCGAAGGUUGUCAGAUGAUCCCUGUCCUGACUUCCUGGGACGCCGUAAUAAGAUGCGGUGGACUGUCACGAAAGUGGAGCGCUAUCAU
rnacentral:ncRNA from 1 species